rnacentral:rRNA from 1 species
CCUACGGGGGGCAGCAGUGGGGAAUAUUGGGCAAUGGGGGGAACCCUGAUGCAGCGACGCCGCGUGGGUGAAGGAGCGUUUCGGCGCGUAAAGCCCUAUCGGCAGGGAAGAAGAUGACGGUACCUGACCAAGAAGCCCCGGCUAACUACGGGCCAGCAGCCGCGGUAAUACGUAGGGGGCACGCGUUAUUCGGCUUUAAUGGGUGGAAAGGGGGCGCAGACGGGAAUGCAAGCCAGGUGGGAAAGCCCGGGGCCCAACCCCGGGACUGCUCUUGGAACUGCAUGGCUGGAGUACAGGAGGGGCAGGCGGAAUGCCUGGUGUAGCGGUGAAAUGCGUAGAUAUUAGGAGGAACCCCGGUGGCGAAGGCGGCCUGCUGGACUGUGACUGACGUUGAGGCCCGAAGGCGUGGGGAGCAAACAGGAUUAGAUACCCUAGUAGUC